AAGAACCGAAUCGAUACCGUAAGACACUUCAGAUCUUCAAGGGAGAUAAGGCCUUGAGGUGGCAGGUCAUCAUUCUUUGAGGAUGGUUGAGAAAUCGGAAGAAAGAAUUUGUUUCUGAAGUAACAGAGAGGCUUUCAGAGCCAUAUAUGUUGAACAGGGCCAGCAGAUAGGAAGAAGCUGGGUGCCAUGUGAAGAGUGAGGACAGCCUGGAUGCCACUGAGCUGCUGACAACAAAGACCUUCAAAGAGUUUGUCCUUUCAAUUUCACUCCCAACUGGAACACAGCCCCUGUCUUAAUUUCCCAAAGCAAGGCCUAGCUAUAACUUUACACCAAAGACAUGUGGCCUACGGAAUGGAAACACAUGAGGAAAACCAGCCACUGGGAAAGAGGGCUUCAGGAAUUCACUGCCGCACCUUUCCCAAAGAGGUGGAUGAGAGGCUGGAGAAGAUAUCCCACCCCCAAGUUCCUCAAAGCCUGCGUGAAGCAGAGAGAAGAUACACGUUUCAUAUGCUGAGGUUUGGGGAUGCUGAAGAUUGAGCCAGUGGCCUGGCAGGGGUCACUGCAACGGGAUAACCUAGAACUGAAAGCUGGGUGGCAGAGGGACAUCAGCCUCCCCAAGGACUGAGGUGAGGCAAGUCAAGGGCAUAGUGGAGGGAUGGAGUUGGGAUGGAGGUUCAGGGAUGGGGGAUAGAAGGGACACCCUCAAGUCCUUUACAGUGUUUGCCAAGAGCAGAGACCAGAAGUCACACUGGCCAGACACUAAAAGGUCACAUGCAGUGAGGAUGGGCCAACAAGACGCCCCUCACCUAUGGUCAGGGGGAGCCAGUGAGGAAGGACCAGCAGCCUGAGUCCUGCCUCCAGUGCUGUUAUGUUCUGGAAACUACCAGCGAUUCCGAGAAGGGACAGAAAGGAAGACAUCUCAAGAAAUGAGGACAGAGUUCAAACUUUGAAAUAAUAAAGUAGUAAACCAACUCUGGAUAUUUAUCAAAAUGGACUCAAUUUGUUUUAUACUGUAACUAAACUACCUGUAACUGGCAAGA